rnacentral:rRNA from 1 species
CACCGCGGUUAUACGAGAGGCCUAAGUUAACAGACACCGGCGUAAAGAGUGGUUAAGGAGAAAUCAAAACUAAAGCCGAAUAACCUCAAGACUGUUAUACGUUACCGAGGACAAGAAGCCCAACUACGAAAGUGGCUUUAAUUUCCCCGACUCCACGAAAGCUGUGAAACAAACUGGGAUUAGAUACCCCACUAUGCUCAGCCAUAAACCUAGAUAAAACUUUACAUCUAUUAUCCGCCAGGGUACUACGAGCGCUAGCUUAAAACCCAAAGGACUUGGCGGUGCUUCAAACCCACCUAGAGGAGCCUGUUCUAGAACCGAUGAUCCCCGUUAAACCUCACCCUCUCUUGUUUUUACCGCCUAUAUACCGCCGUCGUCAGCUUACCCUGUGAAGGUCUAAUAGUAAGCAAAAUCAGCACAACUCAAAACGCCAGGUCGAGGUGUAGCAUAUGAGAGGGCAAGAAAUGGGCUACAUUCCCUGAAUCUGGGCAUACGAAAAACAUAAUGAAAAAUAUGUCAUGAAGGAGGAUUUAGCAGUAAGCAAGAAAUAGAGAGUCUCGCUGAAACUGGCCAUGAAGCGCGUACACACCGCCCGUCACUCUCCCCGAAAGAACUAAACAAAUAUAUAAAACCCUAAUCUAAACAGAGGGGAGGUAAGUCGUAA